rnacentral:rRNA from 1 species
AUUGAACGCUGGCGGCAGGCUUAACACAUGCAAGUCGAACGAUGAUUAUCUAGCUUGCUAGAUAUGAUUAGUGGCGGACGGGUGAGUAACAUUUAGGAAUCUGCCUAGUAGUGGGGGAUAGCUCGGGGAAACUCGAAUUAAUACCGCAUACGACCUACGGGUGAAAGGGGGCGCAAGCUCUUGCUAUUAGAUGAGCCUAAAUCAGAUUAGCUAGUUGGUGGGGUAAAGGCCCACCAAGGCGACGAUCUGUAACUGGUCUGAGAGGAUGAUCAGUCACACCGGAACUGAGACACGGUCCGGACUCCUACGGGAGGCAGCAGUGGGGAAUAUUGGACAAUGGGGGCAACCCUGAUCCAGCCAUGCCGCGUGUGUGAAGAAGGCCUUUUGGUUGUAAAGCACUUUAAGCAGGGAGGAGAGGCUAAUGGUUAAUACCCAUUAGAUUAGACGUUACCUGCAGAAUAAGCACCGGCUAACUCUGUGCCAGCAGCCGCGGUAAUACAGAGGGUGCGAGCGUUAAUCGGAAUUACUGGGCGUAAAGCGAGUGUAGGUGGCUCAUUAAGUCACAUGUGAAAUCCCCGGGCUUAGCCUGGGAACUGCAUGUGAUACUGGUGGUGCUAGAAUAUGUGAGAGGGAAGUAGAAUUCCAGGUGUAGCGGUGAAAUGCGUAGAGAUCUGGAGGAAUACCGAUGGCGAAGGCAGCUUCCUGGCAUAAUAUUGACACUGAGAUUCGAAAGCGUGGGUAGCAAACAGGAUUAGAUACCCUGGUAGUCCACGCCGUAAACGAUGUCUACUAGCCGUUGGGGUCCUUGAGACUUUAGUGGCGCAGUUAACGCGAUAAGUAGACCGCCUGGGGAGUACGGCCGCAAGGUUAAAACUCAAAUGAAUUGACGGGGGCCCGCACAAGCGGUGGAGCAUGUGGUUUAAUUCGAUGCAACGCGAAGAACCUUACCUGGUCUUGACAUAGUGAGAAUCCUGCAGAGAUGCGGGAGUGCCUUCGGGAAUUCACAUACAGGUGCUGCAUGGCUGUCGUCAGCUCGUGUCGUGAGAUGUUGGGUUAAGUCCCGCAACGAGCGCAACCCUUUUCCUUAUUUGCCAGCGGGUUAAGCCGGGAACUUUAAGGAUACUGCCAGUGACAAACUGGAGGAAGGCGGGGACGACGUCAAGUCAUCAUGGCCCUUACGACCAGGGCUACACACGUGCUACAAUGGUAGGUACAGAGGGUUGCUACACAGCGAUGUGAUGCUAAUCUCAAAAAGCCUAUCGUAGUCCGGAUUGGAGUCUGCAACUCGACUCCAUGAAGUCGGAAUCGCUAGUAAUCGCAGAUCAGAAUGCUGCGGUGAAUACGUUCCCGGGCCU